UACGGGGGGGGCAAGCGUUGUUCGGAAUUACUGGGCGUAAAGGGCUCGUAGGCGGCCAACUAAGUCAGACGUGAAAUCCCUCGGCUUAACCGGGGAACUGCAUCUGAUACUGGAUGGCUUGAGAUUGGGAGAGGGAUGCGGAAUUCCAGGUGUAGCGGUGAAAUGCGUAGAUAUUGGGAGGAACACCAGUGGCGAAGGCGGCUCACUGGACCGGUACUGACGCUGAGGCGCGAAAGCGUGGGUAGCAAACAGG
rnacentral:rRNA from 1 species